UUGUGCUUUUGUGUAAGUGAAGUGAAGGAUUUUGACGGCAUAUAGUGGAUGUGAAGGCUCAUGGUUUAGUUUCUAGUAACUACUAGUGUGAAAAGUAGAAAGAACUACUGUGGCUGACCUUUUGUUAUAAUUUAAUGUAAAAGUAGAAAGAUUGCUCUUUUAAGUUAAAGAUGGUAUUGUGUUGUUUUAUUAUUCUAUUAGAUAAGUAUGUCCGUG
rnacentral:lncRNA from 1 species